CUUUUACGUAGGCCUUCGUGAUCGUUUGGUUGUGUGGUAGGUAAGCGUCGGUGUUGCGGGCGAGUACUGGAGCAAAAGGUGGAGGUGCAGGCCGAGUUAAGAGUUUUGAUAGUGUGAAACCAUCUUAGUGUAGAGCUUAGAGUGCUGAGAGUUGAAAGCUUGCACGUGGGAAAUGUGCAGCCCGACCGCCACAUGUACUGAGAUUGAGUCGUGACGGCCACAGGCUCCGAGUUUUGGCGUGAGGAGAACGCUGAUCGGCCACGGGUGCCGCGCUUGCUGGCCUCUGGCAUGUGCCUGAACGGCGGCGGAAAAGCCACACUUAAUUGGGGCAGAGGGUUAGUUUUAAGAGCAAGGGGCCUUUACUAAAAUGGCGAAGACCUUCCGUCGGCGUUGUUUUAAAACGGGCAGCCUCAACCCUGCAUUGAGACUGAGCUGUUCCAAGGCGGCGUUGUGUGCAAUUCGGAUUAAUGAAGGGGAAAGGUUUUGUGUGGAAAAACACCUUGGAGUGUGACGUUUCUGCGAGAAUGCUUAUCGGUUUCCCGCAGGAACAAUGGCGCUGUCAUGGCCCAGCAGAGCAGAUCUGAAGAUGCAAAGAUACAUGAAAGAAUUCCAGAAUAUGCGGGAGAAUAUUUAAUGGAAAACCGCUUGGUUAAACCUGACACUCUUCAUGGCAUUCUGGGUGUGGACGAUCAGCCAGUGAAGAUAAUGAAUGUCGGAUGUCACUGACUAGCAGCUUCAUUUUGAAUGAGGGUCGCUGUCUGCCCAUUGAUAAGAGGCCAGAUUGUCUUGGAAGUUCCAAAGUUGCAACGAUUUCUGGCUAGUGCCACGAGGUUUACUUGACUGUUGUAUGAAAAGCUGAUAAGAAAACCAUCCAGAAAAAAAGCUCUUCGGUUUACAAACACGAAAAUAAAACACGUAAUUUUGGAUUAUGUUGUUUUUAAUUAUUUUAAAUAGGUCCUGAAAUAACAUGGCGGGCAUUAAAUGGAAAAUCCACUACUAUCUGAUACUACCAAAUAAAAUGAGAGAGAAGCCUUAGGCAUGUAACAUUACAUUUGGAGAUAGAAAAUACACCUUCACUAUGAAGGUAGUGUGUGUAAGAUGGCAGUGAAAGCAGUGUUUGCAUUUAUACCCUUGAUCUCCGAUAACCCUUGCCUGCUAGACAUAAAACUAUUAAUCAUUGUUUUUCUCCCCCUUCCAGAACUUCUGCAUAAAAUUUUAAGAUCUGUGUUUCAUUACUUCAAAAGUGCCUAGAAUAGGGCCAGGCACUUACUGUUAUAGAAUAUGUGGUAAAAGACUAUUCAUAUUCCACAGUUUUCAGGGAAGAGUGCCAUUUCCCUUUUGUCAAAGCUGGCAACCAAGACAAAGUUGUGAAAUAGACUAUUUGCUUUCGAGCCCUCUGACCUCUUUUUCUGUAGCUCCUUCUAACUCCCUUGCCUCCCAAUAGAUCUUUUAAUAUGUCACAUUUUCUUAGUUGAUAUCAAAAUUAGUACUCCACAUUUAUAUACACUGGCCUGUGCUAGGCUCUGCCAAGACUCCUGAAAUAAAACACCAUUUUGUCAAUAGUGGCACAGGAUGCCAAGGAAAAGUCAAGCUAUGAAGAAUUCUUGAAAAUAGAACAAGUGGAUUUGAGUUUAAACCAGCACAGAUGUUGGGAAAAUAGGCCCAAGAAAUACUAAGCAAAGACAGUAUGGUUCAGAGUCUGAGAGACAAAUAUUGAGGAUUUGGGUACCAAUAGGGUGGACGUGUGUGGGACAGAAAACAUGUUAUAAAUACCCUUAAGAUUCGUGAGCAAGGGAGUUAGAAAUGUAAGAAUAUCCUGUAAUUAGAGUCAGAUCCAAAAAGGUUUAACUUCAAUGGAAUUGAACUUGAAAGCUCAGUUUUGGUUACCGACUCCUUGAUGGCAAUUUCUAAUCACACAGGAGGCUGUUAGUCUGUAAUAGCCUCCUAAAAACUCAGGCAAUAUUGGUUAAGAUCAGUUGCAUAAGUUCACCCUCCAGAGCAUAUCUGCUGCUUGGGACCAGGUGCAGUGGCUCAUGCCUGUAAUCCCAGCACUUAGGAAGGGUUGCUUGAGACCAACCUGGAAACAGCAAGAUGCCAUCUCUACAAAUAAGAGAACUAACUGGGUGUGGUGAUGUGCACUUGUUCCAGCUACUCAGGAGACUGAGAUAGAAUCACUUGAACCUAGGAAACUGAAGCUACAAUCAGCCAUAAUUGCACCUCUAUGCUCUAUCGUGAGCAACAGGCCAGGCUAAAAAAAA
ensembl:lncRNA